GAUGAACGCUAGCGGCAGGCCUAACACAUGCAAGUCGAGGGAGGAGCCUUCGGGCUUCGACCGGCGUACGGGUGCGUACCGCGUAUACAAUCUGCCUUUCACAUAGGGAUAGCCCGAAGAAAUUUGGAUUAAUACCUAAUGGUAUAUAGAUGUGGCAUCACCUUUAUAUUAAAGCUGAGGCGGUGAAAGAUGAGUAUGCGUUCUAUUAGCUAGUUGGAGAGGUAACGGCUCCCCAAGGCGACGAUAGAUAGGGGUUCUGAGAGGGAUAUCCCCCACACUGGUACUGGGAUACGGACCAGACUCCUACGGGAGGCAGCAGUGAGGAAUAUUGGACAAUGGUCGGAAGACUGAUCCAGCCAUGCCGCGUGCAGGAAGACGGCCUUAUGGGUUGUAAACUGCUUUUGCAGGGGAAGAAUAAGGACUACGCGUAGUUUGAUGACGGUACUCUGCGAAUAAGCAUCGGCUAACUCCGUG
rnacentral:rRNA from 1 species